UACGAGGGGGGCGAGCGUUGUUCGGAAUUAUUGGGCGUAAAGGGUGCGUAGGCGGUUUGGUAAGUCUGUUGUGAAAUCUAUGGGCUCAACUCAUAGUCUGCAUCGGAAACUGCCGGGCUUGAGUGUGGGAGAGGUGAGUGGAAUUCCUGGUGUAGCGGUGAAAUGCGUAGAUAUCAGGAGGAACACCUGUGGCGAAAGCGGCUCACUGGACCAUAACUGACGCUGAUGCACGAAAGCUAGGGGAGCAAACAGG
rnacentral:rRNA from 1 species